rnacentral:lncRNA from 1 species
GCUCCGGCCUGACCUCUCCACGGGGUCCACAGGAACGUCUCCGGCUGCCAGGAGUCACAAGGGGCCGAGCAGGAUGAGGAAACCACAGGCGGAGUCCGGGGGAAGCAGCGUGGCAUCCCAGCCUCAGGCCUGCCAGGACGGUGUUCGGGAACGUCUCCGGCUGCCAGGAGUCGCAAGGGGCCGAGCAGGAUGAGGAAACCACAGGCGGAGUCCGGGGGAAGCAGCGUGGCAUCCCAGCCUCAGGCCUGCCAGGACGGUGUUCGGGAUCAAGAGGACCACACUCCAGCCCAGGACAAAUGCCCCACGGUAGCACAUUGUCCGGCAGGAGAGGAGCAGACCCACGUCCAAGAAGAUGGUUGUACCUUUCCACGCCUCUUCUCUGCGAAAUGAAGCCACAGAACGACACAAUCUUGAAGAGGAAGCCGUGAAUGGGAGACUGCAACAAUCUGUGUCCCUGGAAUGCUGGCCUCUCUGGACAAGCCACGCACUUCGCACCCCUCCUGUUAUGCCCGUGGCGGUGGCACGGCGCUGUAUCCUACCUGGGCUCUGGCCUCCUCUCUGUCCUCCCUCUUGCUCUGUCUCCCCUGUUUCUGAGCGGCCUAGGUGCCUCUUGGCCUGGCUGAAUAUCUUCUACAAAGAUCACUUCCCAGUCCAUCAGGGACUCUCUUCC